AACGAACGCUGGCGGCAUGCCUAACACAUGCAAGUCGAACGAGACCUUCGGGUCUAGUGGCGCACGGGUGCGUAACGCGUGGGAAUCUGCCCUUGGGUUCGGAAUAACAGUGAGAAAUUACUGCUAAUACCGGAUGAUGUCGCGAGACCAAAGAUUUAUCGCCCAGGGAUGAGCCCGCGUAGGAUUAGCUAGUUGGUGAG
rnacentral:rRNA from 1 species